UCCAACUUGCCCGCCUCCCUGGCCCAUGAGAUUUCAGCUCCGAAGGACUCCUGGGUGACUGCGAAGAUGGGCCCCACUGUCCCUAGCACAUGAAGAACAUGCAUCUCCAACGGAGUGAGGUCCCUGUCUCUGAACGAUGGCUUCCUGAGUGGGAAACAGACACUGUUCACAGUGGAGCGUGGGGACCAAACGAGACGACAUGGAGAGACCUCAGCCUGGGAGCUGCCACAUAGUGAGCGACCUCCAUUUCCACGCAGGUGACAGCUCUGGAAGUAACAACUGCAUCUGGGAAGCGGCUCCGGAGACCCGGCUUCCUCUGGUGCGGGCUCGCACGGGGCACCUCCGGUGUGAGGACACACGCGGUCCCCGGCCCCCAGGAGCUGGGCAUGCAGAGAUAGGGAACAGGGGUGGAUGCCAGCAAUGCCCCGUGCACUCAGGGGGACCAUUCUUCAAAUAAACACAGCAUGUGGACUCAACAUACGUGCAGACAAAGAGCUGAGCUGUUUUGAUGGCUGGAGGCUGCCUGUUGGGCUUCACCCUAUUUCCUCGGGGUGACCCUGUAAAAUCUGGGGCUCCUCCGGACCCUGUGUGAAGCUCACUGGGGGUGGAAGCAGGUCGCGGUCACCUCUUUGCCAUGUGCUGGGGCAAAGAUCUGGGCCCUAAUUUUCUUUACUGUAAAAUGGGUAUAAUAUUACCAGAGUGGAGGCAGAAGACUAGACCGGUCCUGGCUGGUGUGGCUCAGUGGAAUGAGUGCUGGCCUGUGAACCAAAGGGUCUCCGGUUCGAUUCCCAGUCAGGGCACAGCCCUGGGUUGUGGGCCAGGCCUCAGUGGGGUGUGUGCGAGA